rnacentral:rRNA from 1 species
GACAGAGGGUGCAAACGUUGCUCGGAAUCACUGGGCGUAAAGGGCUCGUAGGCGGCCAACUAAGUCGGACGUGAAAUCCCCAGGCUCAACCUGGGAACUGCGUCCGAUACUGGAUGGCUUGAAUCCGGGAGAGGGAUGCAGAAUUCCAGGUGUAGCGGUGAAAUGCGUAGAUAUCUGGAGGAAUACCGGUGGCGAAGGCGGCAUCCUGGACCGGCAUUGACGCUGAGGAGCGAAAGCCAGGGGAGCAAACGGG